CCUACGGGCGGCUGCAGUGAGGAAUAUUGGUCAAUGGGAGGAAUCCUGAACCAGCCAUGCCGCGUGCAGGACGACGGCUCUACGAGUUGUAAACUGUUUUUGUACCGGGGUAAAAUGCUCUACGAGUCGGGUUUUGAACGUACGGUACGAAUAAGGAUCGGCUAACUCCGUGCCAGCAGCCGCGGUAAUACGGAGGAUCCGAGCGUUAUCCGGAUUCAUUGGGUUUAAAGGGUGCGUAGGUUGUUUUAUAAGUUAGCGGUGAAAUACCGAGGCUCAACAUCGGGGCUGCCGCUAAUACUGUAGAACUAGAGAGCAGAUGCGGCAGGCGGAAUGUGUAGUGUAGCGGUGAAAUGCAUAGAUAUUACACAGAACACCAAUGGCGAAGGCAGCUUGCUAGGCCGGAUCUGACACUGAUGCACGAAAGCGUGGGGAUCGAACAGGAUUAGAUACCUUUGUAGUC
rnacentral:rRNA from 1 species